GUCACCGACGUGUGGCCCCAGAAGUCCGGCGGUCUGUAGACCACCCUGGCUCCCGAACUCCCGGCUCUCUCUCGCGGUCACCUCUCACCAAUGCAUAGUUUCAGCCAUAUUCCUGCCCCUCCUUCCAGCCGCACAGUCCUGGAGCGCCAGCCAAGUAGGACUGCUGGCCAGCCCCCAAAUGCUUCCCAUGUUUGACUCGCGCCACAGUCGUGCCAUUCCCUCUGCCUGACUGCCCUUUCGUCCCCUUCCCACCUGCUGAAAUUCCAGCCACCUGUUAAGACAGCUGGGGUGUUGGUUCCUUCAGGGAAACCCCCAAGACCUGCCCACCUAUCCCCGCUCCCUACUCAGAGCUCCCCAGCACUUGAUUUCCACCUCCCCUGGGGAACCUCACGUUCUUUCCUGCUGUGUACCUUUGAGAUCUUCCUCCAGCUGUCUUUGCUUCUGGAACAGAAACCAGCAUGUUUUCUGCUCAGUGACUAUAAAACGAAGACCGAGUGACUUUCUCCAAUCUCUGUUGAAUCUCCACAAUAACCCCAUGAGGAAACUGAGGUACAGCGGGAUGCAGUGGUGCUGCAUUAUACUGGGAAACAUAAUUACUGAGAGGUCAUUGGUUCAACAAGGCCUCCCAAGAGGAGGAGUCCUAUCAGGUGCACUGUGAGGAGAAGAAACGAGUAAGCCCCAGCCCUACCAUCCAGGUCUACUGAGGGAGAAACCCAGACACUGAGACAGUGAUGGGUGUUUGAAGGGUUGUGAACAGAGUGGGGUUGGUUGGGGAAGAUUCCACUGUGAAGAUGGAAUUUAAAGCAGUCCUUGGAGAGCUAAGAAGUCAGCAGCCUGAGAUGGGGUCAGGAGAAGGGACCAGUGCCAGCAAAGACUUGGAGGCAAGAAAGCGUCAAAUUUUCAGAAGCCCAGGUGCUGAGGACUGAAACAGACCUCGGAGGUUUCCCAGUCCAACUCCCACAGCAAGGUGCUCCGUGCCUCCUGAGCAUCUGCAAGGACAUCGGGGAGACAAAAAGCUGCCUCAGCCCCAGCUGGGACCUGUUCCCUGGACCAGGCCACAGGCUCCAGAACCCCUCAGACAUUCUUGAGCUCCUCCAACAUGCAGGUCACUCCCCUCUGGACACGCCCCUGUGUCCUGUCCUUGCACUUUGUAGCAUCCAGAGAUGCCAUUAACAGUGUUUGCCACUCAGGAGAAGGAUCUAGAAGGUGUGCCCUUGUUUAGGACUACAGCACUACCCAAUCCAAGUGUGUUUUAUUCUAGACAAUGUUUUUAAUUGAGACAGCAUUCUUAAUAAAUCAGCAAAAUAUACAUA